CUCUUAGAGCAUACAAUAUAAAACGUAUGUACUAUAUAGAUAAUAGCUAUAUUAUGUUAUAUGAUACGAAAAUAUUUAUAUUUCAUUAAAAUAACCUCAGUAUUUGUUGAAAAAUUUUAGCCCACGUAAAAAAAAAAUUUGCCCCACUCUGCCUCCCCUGGAAAAAAAUUGUAGUGCCGUGCCUGCGAAGCGUUAUAUUUCCAAGUUGCAAAGGGCAAAAGAAGUUAGGUCAAAAACCAAGAAAAAACUAAACUUUAAAUCAUCAACCAAAUUGUAUGCUUUCUAAAGACAAUUGUCAAGUGAUUUUUAUAUUUAUAUAGUAAAAGCAAUUUUUUUUUCGUUCUAGAACUCGGGGUAAAAUUUUUACUGGGGCUGAUAAGGAUUAUGGGGACUUAGAUGAAUUAGGCUGUGCUGAACUUGAAAUUUUAUCAGAAGAGUUGGAGGCCAAACGAUCAACUGUUCUAAAUAGUUUAAAACUUAAUUCCCAAGAAAUAUUUGUUCUAGAAAGAAACACAAUAGAUCAGGGUAAAUGUGAUACUUGGCAUACUGAGCGUACCUAAACAUCGGCUGACUGCUUCAAACUUUGGUAGAGUAUGUAAGCUCAGAAAAAGUACUCCUCGGACUAAUACUGUCAAGUAUAUAUUGUACGCAGCAGAUUUAAUAUCGAAGACUCCAGCAAUGACAUACGGAAUACAAUAUGAACCAAUGGCUAGGGAAGCAUUUGAAUCUCUAUUCAAUGUGAAAGUUUUACCAGCUGGUUUAUUUGUUGACAAACAAUUUAAUUUUUUAACCGGUUCUCCAGACGGAUUGGUGGGAGAAAAUCAAAUUAUUGAAAUAAAAUGCCCACACAAUAGUAAAGAUCUGACACCUCACCAAGGAGUUGUGGCUAACAAAAUUAAAUAUUUAAAUAUUAAUGAUUAUGGUGAUCUGCAAUUGAACAAAAACCAUGUUUAUUACUAUACCAGGUUCAGGGUCAAUUAAGAGUAGCCAAUAAAUGCUCAUGUUAUUUUAUAGUUUGGACUCCUAAAGGUAAUAAACAAUAAUAAUAUAUUACAUACAACCAAUUACCGUUCUUUUUUUACACAUAAACAUUUGAAAUUAAGUAGGUACAUUAGUGGGUACAGGUAACACAGUGCAAACUACAGAUAUUUUUUAAAUUCAUAGUUACCUUUUAAAUAUUUAUGAUGGUUUUUUUGUUUUCAGAUAUGUUUGUAGAAAUAAUUAUGCGUGAUGACGACUUCUGGAGGAAUAAAAUGGAAACACAAUUGGUCGAAUUUUAUAACUGUCAUUUAUUGAAUGAAAUUGUAAAUCCUAAAAUUUUAAAAUAAAUGGCAAUUUUGUAAGGUAUAAUGGUAUUAUUAUAACUGCAAUAAAUUAGUCAAGUACGAUUUGUCGAUUUACCUACUAUUUUUUUUUAUAGUUUAUAUUUUAUUUGUUUUUCGUAUAUUAUUUCCAUAAUGGUUAACAAUAAUAAAUAAUAAUAUAUACGAUGGACGGCUUUUAUAA